rnacentral:rRNA from 1 species
GACAGAGGUCCCGAGCGUUAGGCGGAAUCACUGGGCUUAAAGCGUGUGUAGGCGGAUUUGUAAGUACCUUGUGAAAUCCCACGGCUCAACCGUGGAACUGCUUGGUAUACUGCUUAUCUUGAGCCACCUAGGGGCAACCGGAACAAACGGUGGAGCGGUGAAAUGCGUAGAUAUCGUUUGGAACGCCAAUGGUGAAAACAGGUAACUGGGAGUGUGCUGACGCUGAGACACGAAAGCCAGGGGAGCGAACGGG